GCCUACGGGAGGCAGCAGUCGAGAAUAUUGGUCAAUGGGGGAAACCCUGAACCAGCGACGCUGCGUGCGGGAAGAAGGCCUUCGGGUUGUAAACCGCUUUUCUGGAGGAACAAGGGAAUUUCUCUGAGAGUANUCCNGGAAUAAGGGGGUGCCAAUUCUGUGCCNGCAGCAGCGGUAAGACAGAACCCCCAAGCGUUAUCCGGAUUUACUGGGCGUAAAGGGUCCGUACGCGGCUAGGAAAGUCUGAGGUUAAGGACCCUGGGCUCAACCUAGGGAAUGCCUUAGAUACUCUCUAGCUAGAGGGUGCUAGAGGCUAGCGGAACGACCGGUGUAGGGGUGAAAUCCGUUGAUAUCGGUCGGAACACCGAAAGCGAAGGCAGCUAGCUGGGGCAGCCCUGACGCUGAGGGACGAAAGCGUGGGGAGCAAAAAGGAUUAGAUACCCUUGUAGUCCACGCCCUAAACGAUGGACACUGGCUGCCGGUAGUGUCGACCCUAUCGGUGGCGAAGCUAACGCGUUAAGUGUCCCGCCUGGGUAGUACGGCCGCAAGGUUAAAACUCAAAGGAAUUGACGGAAUCNCUAGNGA
rnacentral:rRNA from 1 species